AACUGCUUUUGUAUGGGGAUAAAGUUAGGGACGUGUCCCUAUUUGCAGGUACCAUACGAAUAAGGACCGGCUAAUUCCGUGCCAGCAGCCGCGGUAAUACGGAAGGUCCAGGCGUUAUCCGGAUUUAUUGGGUUUAAAGGGAGCGUAGGCUGGAGAUUAAGUGUGUUGUGAAAUGUAGACGCUCAACGUCUGAAUUGCAGCGCAUACUGGUUUCCUUGAGUACGCACAACGUUGGCGGAAUUCGUCGUGUAGCGGUGAAAUGCUUAGAUAUGACGAAGAACUCCGAUUGCGAAGGCAGCUGACGGGAGCGCAACUGACGCUUAAGCUCGAAGGUGCGGGUAUCAAACAGGAUUAGAUACCCUGGUAGUCC
rnacentral:rRNA from 1 species